ACCCUUAAAAAGGGAAGUACCCUGAGAAAGAUACCGAGAAUUGGUGUGUGGUAUAAGGAGUGAUCACAUGGAAUGGGAAUUCCAUAUGAUCAAAGAGGGGAUUGUAAGGAAAUUAUGUCUAUAUCCACACACACAUGUAUAUAUAUAU